rnacentral:rRNA from 1 species
UUCCAUGAAGCUGGAAUUGCUAGUAAUGGCAGGUCAGCAUACUGCCGUGAAUACGUUCCCGGGCCUUGUACACACCGCCCGUCACACCAUGAGAGUUGGGAAUACCCGAAGCCUGUGAGCUAACUUAUAGAGGCAGCAGUCGAAGGUAGAAUCAAUGAUUGGGGUGAAGUCGUAACAAGGUAGC